rnacentral:misc_RNA from 1 species
GGAGAGUUGCCAGUGGGAAGCGUUCGUAGACGGAUAGAUUUCUCUUAUCUUCCCGUAGUUGGGGCACAGGCUAUUAGUCUAUUUGAAAUACUUUGUAUAAUUGAAACUUAAUAUUCGUAGCGGGCCCUCAGCCAGCUAAACAUAUACUCUGAGGAUGCGUCGACAUCUGGCAGUCAUCUUACCCGAAGGACAAAUCUGCGUGUGCCGAGCCACGGGACAGAAAUCGUUGAAAUUUUUACCGUCGUGCCCCGUC